GAUCAUGGCUCAGGAUGAACGCUGGCGGCGUGCUUAACACAUGCAAGUCGAGCGAAGCACUUAGGAAAGAUUCUUCGGAUGAUUUCCUAUUUGACUGAGCGGCGGACGGGUGAGUAACGCGUGGGUAACCUGGCCUCAUACAGGGGGAUAACAGUUAGAAAUGACUGCUAAUACCGCAUAAGACCACAGCACCGCAUGGUUGCAGGGGUAAAAACUCCGGUGGUAUGAGAUGGACCCGCG
rnacentral:rRNA from 1 species